UACGUAGGCAGCAAGCGUUGUCCGGAUUUAUUGGGUUUAAAGGGUGCGUAGGCGGUCGAUUAAGUCAGUGGUGAAAUACUUCAGCUCAACUGGAGAGGUGCCAUUGAUACUGGUUGACUUGAGUACUGAUGAGGUAGGCGGAAUGGACGGUGUAGCGGUGAAAUGCUUAGAUAUCGUCCAGAACACCGAUAGCGAAGGCAGCUUACUAAGGAGUGACUGACGCUGAGGCACGAAAGUGUGGGGAUCAAACAGG
rnacentral:rRNA from 1 species